GAUUCAAACUUUUCCCCUCUAGUCUCCCAAAUCAUUGUAAACAGACAUAACAAUGUUCUAACUUGAUAGUAAUACUGGCUUUUUGGCCACAGACAGCUCAUUGGAGCUGUUUUGUAAAUCAAAAGAAAGGAAGAGCGGGGGAAAGCCAAUCUCUCGCUUUAUUUAUAUUAUCAGUCUUUGGUGAAUGAUUUAUCAUUUAAGUGCUUUGAAAAGAGAGUCCAGAAACCAUUGUCCAAUUAGUGCUGCCCUCUUAAACCACAUACUAUAAAUAUUCGUAAUUAUCAGAAUCAAAAAACAAUGUUCAUCAGGGCUUCAUAUUCAGGGUAACAACUUAUUUUCUGGAUUUGCCCAGCAAAAUUUAUAUUUAUCCAAAUUAGGCAGAGAAUUGAAAACAAAUGAGGCUGUUGGUUUAUUUGAGAGUGAAACCAAUCACAGACAAUGAGAAGACAGGAAUACAGGGAUAAAAAUAUAAAAAUAACACGUUUAACUGUUUAUUUCUUUAUUCUUGUAGAUUUCUACAUUGACUUUAAUUAAGCUAGCCCUGGGCUAGUGGGCAUGGGUAGAUUUUUUUUUUCCUUUUUUAGUUUUUAAUUCCUCAUUAGGCUGUUUUUUCCUUAGCUCUCGUGGCUCUAAUGACUAGUCCCAUUAAAUAGGUCAAUGGGCUUCUUUUAUUUCAAGUUUUAUAUAGACUCAUAUUCCACUGAAUCUUAAACACUGAACACCCAAAGACUUUCUAGGCAUAUUUCUUCGUUCCUGUUGAUACAUAUGUAUUUAUUUCCCUUUUCCCUUCUCCCCACAGCAGCUGAGCUUUAAUUUCAGCAUACCUGCAGAAAGCUCAGGAAAGUCUGGGCCAGCCACGUGCAAAACUAUGUCCCAGAGUUGAGCAGUGAUGAAACAAGCCUUUCUGCGAUGGGAAAGGAGGGAAAGCUCGAAGUAUAACCAAAGAGCAGCAGCAGGGUAUGACUUUCACUCCAGUUGGACCACAUUUUUUCUUUACCUGGAUACUUCAUGACAGUAUAUAGUACUACAGUUGAGCCAAGUAUCCAGACCAAGGAGUAUAAUGGGUUAUUUCACAUUUCUUACAGUUGUACACAUAUAUAUGUAUACAAUUUAUGAUGUGGAGCGCUUGCUCCAUUAUAUGACCUGAUCAUUUUAUGCAGAACAUGAUGUUCCCUAUUCUGAUUUUAUUUCUGAUACAUCCUGGUUAUUCCUAACUGAUCAUAAAGUUUGUAUUUUUCCUUCUUUAAUUAAUGUUAUUUUUUAGGUCAUUUCUGCAAUUUGACAAGGACUUUUGAAUUACAGUCCUAUUCCUUAAUGUACUGGAAGUCCGUCUCUGCUUGCUGUCAGAUUAACAUGUUGUGAAGUUUUCAAUUUCAGUUUUUUACAUUUGGUGUCCAGAAAACUAUUCUCUCCUUCUCGUAUACAAUAAAUAUUUGUAUGAGGUAGUACUCA
rnacentral:lncRNA from 1 species